rnacentral:rRNA from 1 species
GUCUGANAACUGGAUUACUAGAGACUUGUAGAGGCUCGUGGAAUUCGUGAUGUAGGGGUAAAAUCCGUUGAUAUCACGAGGAACACCAAAAGCGAAGGCAGCGAGCUGGGCUAGUUCUGACGCUGAGGGACGAAAGCGUAGGUAGCGAACGGAAUUAGAUACCCCGGUAGUCUACGCCGUAAACGAUGGAUACUAGGUGUUGGCACAUCGACCGUGUCAGUGCCAAAGCUAACGCAUUAAGUAUCCCGCCUGGGGAGUAUGGUCGCAAGAUUAAAACUCAAAGGAAUAGACGGGGACCCACACAAGCGGUGGAGCAUGUGGUUUAAUUCGAUAAUAAGCGAGGAACCUUACCAAGACUUGACAUCUCGGGAAUUCUGAAGAAAUUCGGAAGUGCCGUAAGGAACCCGAUGACAGGUGCUGCAUGGUUGUCGUCAGCUCGUGCCUUGAGGUGUUCGGUUAAGUCCGUAAACGAGCGCAACCCUUGUCCUUAGUUGCAUUUUUCUAAGGAGACUGCCCUGACUUAGUUAGGGAGGAAGGUAAGGAUGACGUCAAAUCAGCAUGGCCCUUAUGUCUUGGGCGACACACGUGCUACAAUGGCCGGUACAAUGGGUAGCCAAGCGGUAACGCGGAGCCAAUCCCACAAAACCGGUCUCAGUUCGGAUAGAGGGCUGAAACUCGCCCUCUUGAAGUUGGAAUCGCUAGUAACGCAUAUCAGCCACG